GGCUCCCAGAGCUGGGGAGAAGAAGACGCGGUCUUGCCGGCUGCUGCUGCCCCCGGUCUGAAAGAAGGAGGAAAGGGCCAUCAUUGGAGGGCUUUCAGUGCCAAAAUGCGGGCCAGCCAGGCAAGGUCAAAGGUCCUGGACCGCGGGAGACCAAGGUAAUGAUGAUGUCAUGAGAAACCUCAAGUACACACGGCUAUUGAUAUGCAUGAGCGACCAGCCACCGGAGCCGGGACCGAGCCCGGUCUCGCCUCCAGCAUCGCCGCCUCCGCCGUCUUGGCGCGGGGGAUCCGCCCGCCGCUGUCACCUUCCUCCUCCUCGGCAGCGCAGACCGCUUCAACAUCCAGAGGCCGGGAGGCAGGACGCUCUCCCCCGGGGCGGGAAGCAGCCUGCCCGGCCCCGGGGAGAGCAGGGGAGCCCCGAGGAGCCCGCGCUCCUCUUCGGGCAGCCCCCGCCGGUGCGCAGCGAUGCCGCGGCGGGAGCGAGGCCUGGUACUCAGAGGCCGGGAGCAGGGCUGUGCUACGCAAGUGAAGAAAUGCAUGCUGAUGUUACUCACAGAAUGAACGAAGGCAAGUCUUUCUAAACUGUUAGGAUGUGUUAUGUGCAGUUUUAGGAUUUAAGCCUCUCAGUUUCCCCUUCCCCACUCCCCCAAAAGAACAUUACACUUUGAAUUAUUUAACAAUAUAAUUUACUUGGAAUUUUUGUUACUCUGAAGUGCAAACUUUAAAGGCCUCCUGAGUAUGUGUGACGUAAUGAACUUUCUCACUGAGAUCUACCAUAUUUUCUGUAGAAAUUAAAAAAUACACUUCAACAGCUGCAGUGUGCUGUGGUCAGUAUAACACACACACCAAAAAAUUCAGCACACACAGACUAUAGAGUGCUCUGAACUCCUAAAGGAAUAACAAUUUAAAAUUCAUCCUGCUACUCCUCUUCUAAGUGCAAAAUAUAACACAGCAUAUCAUGCACUAUGUUCCUGCACAAUUAGUUAAUAUGUCACAUUGCAUUUAAAUACAUUUUUUUGUAAAUUAACCUGUGUUUGCAUAGGUUGCUAAUUUUUAGGUGGAAUUUUUUGAAUGCAUGGAGUCAAACUAAAGUUGUUGUUGCUCUGUGUUGGCUGCAGAGCUUGCUUGUAUGAUAAAGGAAAUGUGUGCUUGUGUGUACACAGGGGAGCCAUAUGUACAUGUGUCAGUCUAGGUACAUGUGUGUGUAUAUGUUUGAGCUAAAAUAUAUAUGCACAUGCAUGUAGUUACAUCAUAAAAUAUCAAGUAACCAGCCCAUUUUUUAUCAUAAUUACAAAAGCAUGAAAACAGGGAAGUAAUCUCUUUUGUCAGACACUGCUCAAAAUUAAUACUGUCAUCAAGAAGUGUCACGAAGACAUUGCUAAUCUGCCAGUCUGCUAAGUCUCAAAUACUGCAGAAAUAUUGCUAAUUUAUUUCUCCUUCCAGAUUCUAAGCCUUUGAAAUCAAGCAUUUCUUUUUUAAAACAAGUAUUAUUUAUCCUCAUAUAGACUGCUUUUUUGCAACCAGUGCUUUUUACUUGAGAGACAUAAGAGCUCAUUGUGCCAGUCUUCUUUGUGGAAAAUUGAGAGACUCACACAAAAUGGUUAGAAUACUUAUAAUGCUGCAUUAUGAGUUACUGAACUUCUUCAUUACCUCUCAGGCUGUUCAGGCACAACGGGAGCAACUGAAUCAGACAUCUGAUACAUCCAGAGGCACACGAUCACUUUGAUAUUAUGUAAAAUUCUAACGAGCUUUUCUGAAUUGGUAGAUAGGCAGAAAGAUGUGGUUUUUAUGGCAAUAGCUAGGGGCAGUAGUGCUGGUGAUCAAGCAUGUGUUGCAUAGGACAGGCUUAUGAGCUUAUGGAUUAAAUUCUUUCAGUCAGAGGCAUGGAACUUCAAGUGCUCCUUGUGUAUGUGUGUGUGUGUGUGUAUGCUUAUAUAGGUGUCUAUGUACAUAUAUAGGUGUAUAUGUACAUAUCUGCAUAUAACCAUAUUAACACAGAUGGAUAUGUACAUGUUAAUGCAAGCCUGUCACCAGAUGUCACAUGUCACCGGAUUUACACUUAAAUGCAAGGUAUAUUAUUGCAAAUGGGUAUUUCCAAAGAUGUAAGGUGUACCUUCAAAACACCAAGCCCUGUUCUCACAACCACCUCACUUACAUUCUGACUUACUCUGAAGUAACUGCAAUACACACGUUUUGUUGAUUACUCAUUGGAGCAGGUCAAAAGAGCCAACAUGAUGGUUAUGAUGUAGCUGAUCAUUAGCCAUAUUACGGAUUACAUUUUCUAGCUCUCAGGCACUUAGUAAGGCCUUAAAAUCAUCGGGUGUCCAUUAAGUAUUUGCUUAUUCUGAAUAUUACAAAAAUGUAUGCAGCAGUUUAAGGUACAUUUCCAAGACUUCAAUGUGGAAAGUUUAAGCAAUGCACAGUUUUGAAAAUUCUGCCCAAAACAUCACCUGAAUUGUCAAAAACAACAGUUGACACAGCCUGCUCUCUUCCAGUUUACAUAAUUGAAUAAAACUUAUUUAUUCCAAAGUCACUGUAGAAACAUCAGCCUAUUGGAAGACAUGGAAUACAAACACUGACUUUUUCCUCCUAGUUACCUACUAAAUUUCCACUAGUGGCCUGCAGAUUAGUAUGUGAUUGCCAUGCUUGCUUUCUAGUCUUUUUAUAGGUCUGCAGACAGCUAUGACAUAAAGAAGAAAUAUCCUGCAUGGACUUUUUAAGAAUAAACAGCCUCUAUUGACUUUAAAGAGGAAUGCUUAUGAUUCUCUAAUCAUUGCAAUCAGAUCCCCAUCCUAUCUCCAGCAUCCCCAACUUCUGUGUGGAAGACACACAGGAAUCCCCCUUAAGCUGCUGUGAGGUACCUAAGAGGGCGUAGUGUUACAUAAAUUCCAUUUUCACACUAAAUUAUGGCAGAAUUCAUGUAGAGUUAAACCACCAUGGCAUGCCAGUACAGCCCGGGCCACCUCUCCUUGUAGAGCAGCAUCCCUUUCCUCCCAGCCAGGGAGCAACAGUGUUCUUAGAUGUUACAGUGAAGGAGUUUCACCCGUUCCAUGGACCAGUGUGGACUGGGGUUGUUGAAGGAUUUUGACCACUUUUUUGGUGGAUAGAGAGAUGUGAGGGGACACUCCUGGGCCAUGGUGAGCGGCCGGGCUUCACCCUUCUGCCAGGUACGCUCCUGAGCUGAGCAUUUUGGCCAGGAUGGAUUUGGAGAACCCGGGAAGUGAUGGCUGCUUGUUCUGAGUGAUCCACUAUGUGGGAGGCACUGGAUGAACAAACUGCUGUGAGCAAUCCCUUGCACCUCGACCAGCUGCAAGAUAUGCCUCCAACUUCUCUCCUUCCCCCUCCUUUUUUUCCUGCCCAUUUCCCUCCCCCCUUUAUGUUUUUUUUUUUCUCCAGUUCUUUUUUUUAGUUUUGUUGUUGUUGUUGCUUUUUGGUUGUUUUUUUUAAGUUCAACUAUGUAAAGGCCUGUUAUACUU